UACGAAGGGGGCUAGCGUUGUUCGGAAUUACUGGGCGUAAAGCGCGCGCAGGCGGCUAUCCAAGUCAGUGGUGAAAGCCCGGAGCUCAACUCCGGAACUGCCAUUGAAACUGUUUAGCUUGAGUAUGAGAGAGGUGAGUGGAAUUCCCAGUGUAGAGGUGAAAUUCGUAGAUAUUGGGAAGAACACCGGUGGCGAAGGCGGGUCUCUGGGCCGUAACUGACGCUGAGGAGCGAAAGCGUGGGGAGCGAACAGG
rnacentral:rRNA from 1 species